GUAGGGAAUAUUGGGCAAUGGAUGCAAGUCUGACCCAGCCAUCCCGCGUGCCGGAAGAAGGCCCUCAGGGUUGUAAACGGCUUUUGACGGUGAAGAAUCGACAGGAUGCGUCCUGUUUUGACGGUAGUCGUUGAAUAAGCACCGGCUAACUCCGUGCCAGCAGCCGCGGUAAUACGGAGGGUGCGAGCGUUGUCCGGAUUUAUUGGGUUUACAGGGUGCGUAGGCUGGAAGGUCAGUCAGCGGUGAAAAGCUGUCGCUUAACGAUAGUCUUGCCGCAGAUACUUCCUUUCUUGGAUGAGGAGGAGGCCACUGGAACGGAUGGUGUAGCGGUGAAAUGCAUAGAUAUCAUCCAGAACACCGAUUGCGAAGGCAGGUGGCUGUACCUUAAUCGACGCUGAUGCACGAAAGCUUGGGGAGCAAACAGGAUUAGAUACCCUUGUAGUCC
rnacentral:rRNA from 1 species